AUGCUCAGAAACAGUGUUGCCUCCAUCUCGGGUUGUCCUUCAUUCCUGAUUAUCACAUUCUCCUUUGAGUCGUUAGUUUCAAAUUUGUGUCAAGUAUUCAUGUGUGCAAAAGGGGUUUCGCCGCUUCGGUUCAAAUCAGCAUGCAAAAUCGACGCCGUUCGUGUUGCAGUUCAUCUCACUAAUUCCUCGACUGAUCUGUGUCAAAGGUGA